rnacentral:rRNA from 1 species
AUCUGGUUGAUCCUGCCAGUAGUCAUACGUUGGUUUCAAAGAUUAAGCCAUGCAUGGGUAAGUAUAAAUAAUUUUACUUUGAAACUGCGAAUGGCUCAUUAUAUCAGUUAUAGUUUAUUAGAAAUAUUUUACUACUUGGAUAACCGUAGUAAUUCUAGGGCUAAUACAUGAGUAAAACCUCAACUUCGGAAGAGGUGUGUUUAUUAGUAUGAAAACCAUAUAUCUUCGGAUAUAAUAGUGAGUAAUAAUAACCUUUCAUAUCGUAUGUCGUAAGAUAACGAUAGUUCUUUCAAGUUUCUGCCCUAUCAGCUUUCGAUGGUAGUAUAUGGGACUACCAUGGCAGUAACGGGUAACGAAGAAUUUGGGUUCGAUUUCGGAGAGGGAGCCUGAGAGAUGGCUACCACAUCCAAGGAAGGCAGCAGGCGCGUAAAUUACCCAAUCCUGACAUAGGGAGGUAGUGACAAUAAAUCACAAUGCGGAACUUUUAGUUUUGCAAUUGGAUUGAGAACAAUGUACAAAUGUUAUCGAUAAACAAUUGGAGGGCAAGUCUGGUGCCAGCAGCCGCGGUAAUUCCAGCUCCAAUAGCGUAUAUUAACGUUGUUGCAGUUAAAAAGCUC